ACCCUUCCUCCCAGACCCUCCCACCUCCUGGACAGCUCACUAAGAAUGCAGCUUCAAAAUGGAUGCUGUCCAGGAGGUGGGAGGGUCUGGGAGGGAGGGUC
rnacentral:miRNA from 1 species